rnacentral:rRNA from 1 species
UACGGGGGGGGCAAGCGUUGUUCGGAAUUACUGGGCGUAAAGGGCUCGUAGGCGGCCAACUAAGUCAAACGUGAAAUCCCUCGGCUUAACCGGGGAACUGCGCUUGAUACUGGAUGGCUUGAGAUUGGGAGAGGGAUGCGGAAUUCCAGGUGUAGCGGUGAAAUGCGUAGAUAUCAGGAGGAACACCGGUGGCGAAGGCGCCACUCUGGGCCGAAACUGACGCUGAGGAGCGAAAGCGUGGGUAGCAAACAGG